rnacentral:tRNA from 1 species
UAAAACCUGCAAGAUUUUCUUACAUCACCUGAAUGCAACUCAGACACUUUACUUAAAUUAAGGCUUU